rnacentral:rRNA from 1 species
AUGCACGCUGGCGGCGUGCCUAAUACCUGCAAGUCGAGCGAACAGACGAGGAGCUUGCUCCUCUGACGUUAGCGGCGGACGGGUGAGUAACACGUGGAUAACCUACCUAUAAGACUGGGAUAACUUCGGGAAACCGGAGCUAAUACCGGAUAAUAUAUUGAACCGCAUGGUUCAAUAGUGAAAGACGGUUUUGCUGUCACUUAUAGAUGGAUCCGCGCCGCAUUAGCUAGUUGGUAAGGUAACGGCUUACCAAGGCAACGAUGCGUAGCCGACCUGAGAGGGUGAUCGGCCACACUGGAACUGAGACACGGUCCAGACUCCUACGGGAGGCAGCAGUAGGGAAUCUUCCGCAACGGGCGAAAGCCUGACGGAGCAACGCCGCGUGAGUGAUGAAGGUCUUCGGAUCGUAAAACUCUGUUAUUAGGGAAGAACAAAUGUGUAAGUAACUAAGCACGUCUUGACGGUACCUAAUCAGAAAGCCACGGCUAACUACGUG